rnacentral:rRNA from 1 species
GUGGGGAAUAUUGGACAAUGGGCGAAAGCCUGAUCCAGCAAUGCCGCGUGAGUGAUGAAGGCCCUAGGGUUGUAAAGCUCUUUCACCGGUGAAGAUAAUGACGGUAACCGGAGAAGAAGCCCCGGCUAACUUCGUGCCAGCAGCCGCGGUAAUACGAAGGGGGCUAGCGUUGUUCGGAAUUACUGGGCGUAAAGCGCACGUAGGCGGAUAUUUAAGUUAGGGGUGAAAUCCCAGGGCUCAACCCUGGAACUGCCUCUAAUACUGGGUAUCUCGAGUCCGAGAGAGGUGAGUGGAAUUCCGAGUGUAGAGGUGAAAUUCGUAGAUAUUCGGAGGAACACCAGUGGCGAAGGCGGCUCACUGGCUCGGUACUGACGCUGAGGUGCGAAAGCGUGGGGAGCAAACAGGAUUAGAAACCCGUGUAGUCC